AACUUAGUGGUAGAGUGCGUGCUUAGCAAACACAAGGCCCUGGGUUCAAUCCCCAG
rnacentral:tRNA from 1 species